rnacentral:rRNA from 1 species
AGAGACAGCAGCAGCCGCGGUAAUACGUAGGUGGCAAGCGUUGUCCGGAAUUAUUGGGCGUAAAGGGCUCGCAGGCGGUUUCUUAAGUCUGAUGUGAAAGCCCCCGGCUCAACCGGAGAGGGUCAUUGGAAACUGGGAAACUUGAGUGCAGAAGAGGAGAGUGGAAUUCCACGUGUAGCGGUGAAAUGCGUAGAGAUGUGGAGGAACACCAGUGGCGAAGGCGACUCUCUGGUCUGUAACUGACGCUGAGGAGCGAAAGCGUGGGGAGCGAACAGGAUUAGAUACCCCCGUAGUCCCUGUCUCUUAUAC